AACGAACGCUGGCGGCAGGCCUAACACAUGCAAGUCGAGCGAACCUUCGGGUUAGCGGCGGACGGGUUAGUAACGCGUGGGAACGUACCCAAAGGUACGGAAUAGCUUCGGGAAACUGGAGGUAAUACCGUAUGUGCCCUUCGGGGGAAAGAUUUAUCGCCUUUGGAUCGGCCCGCGUAAGAUUAGGUAGUUGGUGAGGUAACGGCUCACCAAGCCUACGAUCUUUAUCUGGUUUGAGAGGAUGAUCAGAAACACUGGGACUGAGACACGGCCCAGACUCCUACGGGAGGCAGCAGUGGGGAAUCUUGGACAAUGGGCGCAAGCCUGAUCCAGCCAUGCCGCGUGAGUGAAGAAGGCCUUAGGGUUGUAAAGCUCUUUCAGGGGUGAGGAUUAUGACAGUAACCCCAGAAGAAGCACCGGCUAACUUCGUGCCAGCCGCCGCCGUAACAC
rnacentral:rRNA from 1 species